rnacentral:rRNA from 1 species
AACGAACGCUGGCGGCAUGCCUAACACAUGCAAGUCGAACGAUGCUUUCGGGCAUAGUGGCGCACGGGUGCGUAACGCGUGGGAAUCUGCCCUGGGGUUCGGGAUAACAGCGGGAAACUGCUGCUAAUACCGGACGAUAUCGCGUGAUCAAAGAUUUAUCGCCCUGGGAUGAGCCCGCGUCGGAUUAGGUAGUUGGUGGGGUAAGAGCCUACCAAGCCGCCGAUCCGUAGCUGGUCUGAGAGGAUGAUCAGCCACACUGGGACUGAGACACGGCCCAGACUCCUACGGGAGGCAGCAGUGGGGAAUAUUGGACAGUGGGCGCAAGCCUGAUCCAGCAAUGCCGCGUGAGUUAUGAAGGCCUUAGGGUUGUAAAGCUCUAUUACCCGGGAUGAUAAUGACGGUACCGGGAGAAUAAGCCCCGGCUAACUCCGUG